GAAGGGACAAAAGAAACAUCUUGUUCUUUCUUCAACAAUUUUUGAUCUCUAGUGGACCUCUCAGUAGGAUUCGAACCCAAAUGAAGUUCUGACCAUCUGUCAGAGAAAAAAGAACGAAUUGAUCUUGGGUAAACAAAGCAUA